rnacentral:rRNA from 1 species
UGGGGAAUCUUGGACAAUGGGCGCAAGCCUGAUCCAGCCAUGCCGCGUGAGUGAAGAAGGCCUUCGGGUUGUAAAGCUCUUUUGUCAGGGAAGAAACGGUAGUAGCGAAUAACUACUACUAAUGACGGUACCUGAAGAAUAAGCACCGGCUAACUACGUGCCAGCAGCCGCGGUAAUACGUAGGGACCAAGCGUUGUUCGGAUUUACUGGGCGUAAAGGGCGCGUAGGCGGCUUGACAAGUCACUUGUGAAAUCUCUGGGCUUAACCCAGAACGGCCAAGUGAAACUGUCAUGCUAGAGUGCAGAAGGGGCAAUCGGAAUUCUUGGUGUAGCGGUGAAAUGCGUAGAUAUCAAGAGGAACAUCUGAGGUGAAGACGGGUUGCUGGGCUGACACUGACGCUGAGGCGCGAAAGCCAGGGGAGCAAACGGGAUUAGAUACCCAUGUAGUCCCUGAGCGGGC